GGGCUUGCUUAGGCAGCACAUAUACUAAAAUUGGAAUGACACAAAGACAAGCAUGGUCCCUGAGCAAGAAUGACAUGCAAAUUUGUGAAGUGUUUGAUAUAGAA
ensembl:snRNA U6 U6 spliceosomal RNA